GACGAACGCUGGCGGCGUGCCUAAUACAUGCAAGUAGAACGCUGAAGGAGGAGCUUGCUUCUCUGGAUGAGUUGCGAACGGGUGAGUAACGCGUAGGUAACCUGCCUGGUAGCGGGGGAUAACUAUUGGAAACGAUAGCUAAUACCGCAUAAGAGUAGAUGUUGCAUGACAUUUGCUUAAAAGGUGCAAUUGCAUCACUACCAGAUGGACCUGCGUUGUAUUGGCUAGUUGGUGGGGUAACGGCUCACCAAGGCGACGAUACAUAGCCGACCUGAGAGGGUGAUCGGCCACACUGGGACUGAGACACGGCCCAGACUCCUACGGGAGGCAGCAGUAGGGAAUCUUCGGCAAUGGACGGAAGUCUGACCGAGCAUCGCCGCGUGAGUGAAGAAGGUUUUCGGAUCGUAAAGCUCUGUUGUAAGAGAAGAACGAGUGUGAGAGUGGAAAGUUCACACUGAUGACGGUAUCUUACCAGAAA
rnacentral:rRNA from 1 species